rnacentral:tRNA from 1 species
ACCCGGCUAGCUCAGUCAGUAGAGCAUGAGACUCUUAAUCUCAGGGUUGUGGUUGCCCCACAUUGGGCG